rnacentral:rRNA from 1 species
CAAGUCGAACGCGAAAGGGGCUUCGGCCCUGAGUAGAGUGGCGAACGGGUGAGUAACACGUGGGUGACCUACCUUCGAAUGGGGGAUAACGUCCCGAAAGGGACGCUAAUACCGCAUAACAUCCUGUCUUUGAAGAGAUGGAGAUCAAAGCUGGGGAUCGCAAGACCUGGCGUUUGAAGAGGGGCCCGCGUCCGAUUAGCUAGUUGGUGAGGUAACGGCUCACCAAGGCAACGAUCGGUAGCCGGCCUGAGAGGGCGGACGGCCACACUGGGACUGAGACACGGCCCAGACUCCUACGGGAGGCAGCAGUGGGGAAUUGUUCGCAAUGGGCGCAAGCCUGACGACGCAACGCCGCGUGGAGGAUGAAGGUCUUCGGAUUGUAAACUCCUGUUGCCCGGGACGAAAUGCUUCGACCUAACACGUCGAAGUUUGACGGUACCGGGUGAGGAAGCCCCGGCUAACUCUGUGCCAGCAGCCGCGGUAAUACAGAGGGGGCAAGCGUUGUUCGGAAUUACUGGGCGUAAAGGGCGCGUAGGCGGCCUUCUAAGUCGAACGUGAAAUCCCCGGGCUCAACCCGGGAACUGCGUCCGAUACUGGAAGGCUUGAAUCCGGGAGAGGGAUGCGGAAUUCCANGUGUAGCGGUGAAAUGCGUAGAUAUCUGGAGGAACACCGGUGGCGAAGGCGGCAUCCUGGACCGGCAUUGACGCUGAGGCGCGAAAGCCAGGGGAGCAAACGGGAUUAGAUACCCCGGUAGUCCUGGCCCUAAACGAUGAAUGCUUGGUGUGGCGGGUAUCGAUCCCUGCCGUGCCGAAGCUAACGCAUUAAGCAUUCCGCCUGGGGAGUACGGUCGC